AUGAUCCUGGCUGUGGCAACCUUCGCACUGAGCCCACCGUCCUAGCAGCAAGAUGGAGCUGGGGAGAAAGUUUCUGUUUCAGUCUGUAGGGAAGGGUGCCUCCCAGGAGCCAGGCCGCCUGCCUUGGCCUCCCAAAGAGCCGAGAUUGCAGCCUCUGCCCGGCCGCCACCCCGUCUGGGAAGUGAGGAGCGUCUCUGCCUGGCCGCCCAUCGUCUGGGAUGUGAGGAGCCCCUCUGCCUGGCUGCCCAGUCUGGGAAGUGAGGAGCGUGUCUUCCCGGCCGCCAUCACAUCUAGGAAGUGAGGAGCGUCUCUGCCCGGCCGCCCAUCGUCUGGGAUGUGGGGAGCGUCUCUGCCCCGCCGCCCCAUCUGGGAAGUGAGGAGCGCCUCUGCCCGGCCGCCCCGUCUGAGAAGAGAGGAGCCCCUCCGCCCGGCAGCCACCCCGUCCAGAAGGUUUGUGAAUAAAGAAGUUGCCGCACGUAUGAUCUGCACAGCAGUGAUUCCCACAUG
rnacentral:lncRNA from 10 species